rnacentral:rRNA from 1 species
GACGAACGCUGGCGGCGUGCUUAACACAUGCAAGUCGAACGAAGUGGCGAACGGGUGAGUAACGCGUAAUCAACCUGCCCUUCAGAGGGGGACAACAGUUGGAAACGACUGCUAAUACCGCAUACUGAAGGAGGGGAUUGCGUCUGAUUAGCUAGUUGGAGGGGUAACGGCCCACCAAGGCGAUGAUCAGUAGCCGAUAGGAGAAGUAGAACGGACAUAGUGGGACUGAGACACGGCCCAGACUCCUACGGGCGGCAGCAGUGGGGAAACUGCCGCAAUGGACGAAAGUCUGACGGAGCAACGCCGCGUGAGCGAUGACGGCCUUCGGGUGGUAAAGCGCUGUUAAUCGGGACGCGGGACCGGAAUAGAAAUACACGGCUAACUACGUGCCAGCAGACGAGGUAAUAC